rnacentral:rRNA from 4 species
UGUUUCGGCUAGGGGGUCAUCCCGACUUACCAACCCGAUGCAAACUACGAAUACCGAAGAAUGUUAUCACGGGAGACACACGGCGGGUGCUAACGUCCGUCGUGAAGAGGGAAACAACCCAGACCGCCAGCUAAGGUCCCAAAGUCAUGGUUAAGUGGGAAACGAUGUGGGAAGGCACAGACAGCCAGGAUGUUGGCUUAGAAGCAGCCAUCAUUUAAAGAAAGCGUAAUAGCUCACUGGUCGAGUCGGCCUGCGCGGAAGAUGUAACGGGGCUAAACCAUGCA